AAUCAUUUAACAAUAUGGGAAUGUAAACUCUUGUGACGUAAAGUCAAAAAUAUAAGUCUCCCCACCUCCGUCGGACAAGACAACCGUAAUAAAGUCUAAUAACCGUGGGUACAUACAGAACUGACAGAACUAAUACAAACCAAACGUCCAAGAAUAUUCCUUUUUGCUCUAUUGAUUUGAUUCAGUUCAAAAUUUCGUUGGCCGAGUAUAAUUUCUAAAAAGGGAAUAAAAAAAUCUGUGGAAUGAAAAUAAACCUUCAGACUUCAGAUUAUUUAUAGAAAAAAUGGGGUGGCGGGAGGAGGAAUGUAGAAAAUAGGAAGCUAUUAAAAGUAAUAGAUGGUAAUAUAGCACUAGUAAAUUUAGAUUUUGGCAGAGUAUCCUUUAAACUGCAAAAUUAGUGCAAAUACCAGCUCCCAUCCUAAAAUGUCAGUGCUGUCAAGAAUAUCUGUUCCCAUACAUCAAAGUUUGUCCGACUAGACACCGUUAAGCUACUAACAAAUUUCCAGCUUGCUAUUAAUAGACUUUUUUUGGUACGUGGGAUCCAGGCCUAAAAUAACAAGUUUUAAAUUAUAAUUGUAUAUAACUACAUAUAUCAAAUAAACCAAACAACACAAUUAUAAAUUUUUCUACAAUAACUAUAUGAAAUUAAGACAUGUAAAUUUUAUGGUUUUUGUAUAUACUCCCGUUAUUCUUAGUUUUUAAAUCAAAAAGUAUGUAACAGGAAGUUUAUAUCAGCUAUUCGUCGUCCUAAUCUGUAAACUGUGUAACUCCAUAAUUACCUGAAAAUGAGUUAUUACUACUAUCUGUUUCAAAAAGUCCCUACUUAUCGUUUAAAAAAGGACUGACCUGCAUUAUUUUACUCGAUCAGUAAAUAGCGACCUCUUCGUAUACACCGCGUCUCCCUUGCUACAAAACGUAGUAUGAAAAAUACAUAACUCCCUACUUUGUCCUACCUACCACACAAAGAUAGACAAUGUAAAUUUUGGGGAGGUAAAGGUAAAGGAUAUCCAGGCCUAAAGGAUAUCCAGGAUGACACGCAGGAUUCUACGUUCCGCUCGCAACAACUUCAGGUUUUGUAGUCUAUUGCUAUUGAAUAUACAAUAGAGGCCUGAUUUGUACUCAAUGACGGGUCGAAUGUAGGCCUUGUAAGUGUGGAUGAGCGUUUUCGUGUCUGUCUUGCCAAUUUUCCCAGAGAGAGGGUGGAGUAAUCUGGCUCUAUUUCUUACCCUAUCUAAAGUUGCCUUUAGAUCUGCAUCCCAGUUGGGAGUCCUGGUAAACAGAACUCCCAAGUAGGUUGUAGUCUGGCUGAGCAAAAGCAUUUCUCCCAUCAGCCUCACUGGGAAUUGGUCGUCCUCAUGUCUAAUGAUUCUUGAUGACACAGUGGGGGCGCGAAAUACAAUGGUUGUUGUUUUGUUCGCGUUUAGUGUUACUCUCCACUUACAACACCAUUCCUCGACCGCGUUUAACAGAGCUUAGGCUCUUCUAUGGAUGAGUGGUGGGUUGUAUCGUGUAGUUGUUGUGAGCAGAGCCGUAUCGUCAGCAUAGAGAAACAACCGGGUGCCUGGGAUAUUUUGAUUUGAGAGGUCACUGUUGUAGAUUAUGUACAACAGUGGUGCUAUAACUGAUCCUUGGGGAACUCCAGCUUGUGGAGUAAAAGGGGUUGAUCUUUGAUCGCUUCCUUUCACUCUUACAGUUUGGUCAUGGAGAUAUGAAUGUACAAUUUUUGUGAAUUGUAAUGGUAGCCCGAUGUCAAUUAGCUUCCAACCGGCGUUGAUGGUUUGUGAGAUUUUAGUGGUAAAGUCAAUCAAUGCAUGUUUAGUAGAUUUACCGUUUUGGAAUCCGUAUUGAAAUUUUGGGAUGAUGUUGUGGGUUUCGAGAAAGUCGUUGAGCCUCUCUUUUAAGAUUAGCUCAAGAACUUUGCCCAAAGUGUUUAUGAGAGAGAUAGGUCUAUAGGAUUUCACGUCGGUACGGGGUUUACCUUUUUCAGGUAACAUGAUUGUGUUGGCUACUUUCCAAGGAGUAGGAAAGUAGCUUCUUUUGAUGCAUGCAUUGAAGAUUUUAGUGAGAAGAGAGAAAAUACUCUCAGGAAGUUUCUUAAGGCUUAUUCGACUGAUGCAGUCAGGUCUGGGAGCGCUAUUUUUGCCUUGGCGGCAAAAGCUCUCCGUUUCCCUGUUGGUGAGGGGAUCCAUGAUUGGGUCAUGGACCGGAAUGUGAAAAUUGAGAGUAUUUCUGACUAUGAAUUGUGUUGAGUUUAAAUAUGCGAUCAAAGUUCGGGUUGUCAGGGGUUUGAAAGUUAUUUUGAAGCGAAUUUUUGAAUGCUUCUGCUUUCUCUUCUGGGGAGUUAAUGAUUUGGUUGUUGACCAACAGAUGAGAAGGUUGAGAUAGUUUUUGUUUUGUUAGGACUUUGAAUUUGUUCCAGAAUUUACUUCCGUCUCUGUAAUCUAGUUUUGAGGUAGUAUCUUCCCACCGGCGGCGAGCCGUUACGUCAGAUAUUUCUCUCUACCACACAACUGACCUAUCACUAUUUAGAAAGUGAUAUUUUCAAGAAAAAGUUGGUGGUAAGUAAUAUUUAAAUACUUAUUAAACAAUAUACAAAUAAUGUUAGUGAUAUGUGUAUCUAUAAAAUAUUUCCGUUCCACCAUCCUAUCUUUUAAAAUGGUAGGAUACGUAGUAUUCAUAUUAGUCAUAUUUAGAGAGAUAGUUUUUGUGUCUCCUGUAAAAUUAGGAUAAAUGGAGUUAACCAGCUUAUAGAUUAGGUCGACAUAUUAAUAAUGGAGUAUUUACAUUGUUGUUACCUUAUGAUUACCAACACUUUAUGGUUUGGACUACUACUAGUAUUGUAACAAUAAAACUAUCAGUUCUUU
rnacentral:lncRNA from 1 species